AGAGUUUGAUCCUGGCUCAGGAUGAACGCUAGCGGCAGGCCUAACACAUGCAAGUCGAGGGGCAUCGGGAUUGAAGCUUGCUUCAAUUGCCGGCGACCGGCGCACGGGUGCGUAACGCGUAUGUAACCUACCUAUAACAGGGGCAUAACACUGAGAAAUUGGUACUAAUUCCCCAUAAUAUUCGGAGAGGCAUCUCUCCGGGUUGAAAACUCCGGUGGUUAUAGAUGGACAUGCGUUGUAUUAGCUAGUUGGUGAGGUAACGGCUCACCAAGGCAACGAUACAUAGGGGGACUGAGAGGUUAACCCCCCACAUUGGUACUGAGACACGGACCAAACUCCUACGGGAGGCAGCAGUGAGGAAUAUUGGUCAAUGGACGCAAGUCUGAACCAGCCAUGCCGCGUGCAGGAUGACGGCUCUAUGAGUUGUAAACUGCUUUUGUACGAGGGUAAACGCAGAUACGUGUAUCUGUCUGAAAGUAUCGUACGAAUAAGGAUCGGCUAACUCCGUGCCAGCAGCCGCGGUAAUACGGAGGAUCCAAGCGUUAUCCGGAUUUAUUGGGUUUAAAGGGUGCGUAGGCGGUUUGAUAAGUUAGAGGUGAAAUUUCGGGGCUCAACCCUGAACGUGCCUCUAAUACUGUUGAGCUAGAGAGUAGUUGCGGUAGGCGGAAUGUAUGGUGUAGCGGUGAAAUGCUUAGAGAUCAUACAGAACACCGAUUGCGAAGGCAGCUUACCAAACUAUAUCUGACGUUGAGGCACGAAAGCGUGGGGAGCAAACAGGAUUAGAUACCCUGGUAGUCCACGCAGUAAACGAUGAUAACUCGUUGUCGGCGAUACACAGUCGGUGACUAAGCGAAAGCGAUAAGUUAUCCACCUGGGGAGUACGUUCGCAAGAAUGAAACUCAAAGGAAUUGACGGGGGCCCGCACAAGCGGAGGAACAUGUG
rnacentral:rRNA from 1 species